GACGUAGGGCGCGAGCGUUGUCCGGAUUUAUUGGGCGUAAAGAGCUCGUAGGCGGCUUGUCGCGUCGUCCGUGAAAACCUGGGGCUCAACCCCAGGCUUGCGGUCGAUACGGGCAGGCUCGAGUUCGGUAGGGGAGACUGGAAUUCCUGGUGUAGCGGUGAAAUGCGCAGAUAUCAGGAGGAACACCGGUGGCGAAGGCGGGUCUCUGGGCCGAUACUGACGCUGAGGAGCGAAAGCGUGGGGAGCAAACAGG
rnacentral:rRNA from 1 species